GCGUUGCUCGGAAUUACUGGGCGUAAAGGGCGCGUAGGCGGCCUGUUAAGUCGAACGUGAAAUCCCCGGGCUCAACCCGGGAACUGCGUCCGAUACUGGCAGGCUUGAAUCCGGGAGAGGGAUGCGGAAUUCCAGGUGUAGCGGUGAAAUGCGUAGAUAUCUGGAGGAACACCGGUGGCGAAGGCGGCAUCCUGGACCGGUAUUGACGCUGAGGCGCGAAAGCCAGGGGAGCAAACGGG
rnacentral:rRNA from 1 species